rnacentral:misc_RNA from 1 species
GAUGAAGAACGUAGCGAAAUGCGAUAAGUAAUGCGAAUUGCAGAAUUCAGUGAGUCAUCGAAUCUUUGAACGCACAUUGCGCCCUGUGGUAUUCCGCAGGGCAUGCCUGUCCGAGCGUCAUUUCAACCCUCAAGCCCCGCUUGGUGUUGGGCCCCGCCCGCUGUGGCCGGCCCUAAAGACAGUGGCGGCGCCGCCUGGCCCUCAGCGUAGUACAUCUCUCGCUCCAGGGUCCGGUGGCCGCCUGCCAGAACCCCCCAACUCUGUGGUUGACCUCGGAUCAGGUAGGGAUACCCGCUGAACUUAAGCAUAUCAAUAAGCGGAGGA